rnacentral:lncRNA from 1 species
ACUAUCACAGAUAACCACCCUCACCCUAGUUGCAUUAAUGAGAGCUAUCACAAUGCAAUCAAGUAUGGUUUAUUACAGCAACAGAUAAUCAGGUUCUUUUGGAUUGCCGGCGAUAGUGACUGUCUGCAAAAGCAAGCUAGUAGGCAUGAAAUACACAGGUGUUAUAGGUGUUACAGAUGUUAUACAGGUGUUGUAGGUGUUACAGAUGUUAUAGAUGUUGUAGAUGUUAUAGAUGUUAUAAAUGUUACAAAUGUGUUAGAUGUUAUAGAUGUUACAGAUGUUUUAAGUGUUACAGGUGUUAUAGGUGUUGUAGGUGUUACAGGUGCGCAGCCUAGAAAUAAACGCGUUAAAAGGAUCAAAGACUCUAUAGAGAUUUAUAAGCAAAUAUUCAGAUCUCACCCAAAGGCGUCCCAAUGGGGGGGGGAAGAGAGGCUCAGCCCAUCGACUGAUCCCAGGAGUCAGGAGGUCCUAAGGAUGUUGUAUGUCCUCGGGAUGGUAUCUCCCCUGACGGUGGUAUCUUCCCUAACAUCCCCUCUCUCUUGGGCCAGUUUAUAUUAUUUUCUGUCUUUUAGGUGGAGCUUGAGUGGCUCUAGUCAAGCAUAUCUUAGUUAUGAUUGGUGUAAAGUUUUCCCGUCUCCGUUUAAAGUAAUAGGCUCCGAGAAAUUCAGAUCUCACCCAAAGGCGUCCCAAUGGGGGGGGAAGAGAGGCUCAGCCCGUCGACUGAUCCCAGGAGUCAGGAGGUCCUAAGGAUGCUGUAUGUCCUCGGGAUGGUAUCUCCCCUGACGGUGGUAUCUUCCCUGCCAUCCCCUCUCUCUUGGGCCAAUUUAUAUUAUUUUCUAUCUUUUAGGUGGAGCCUGAGUGGCUCUAGUCAAGCAUAUCUUAGUUAUGAUUGGUGUAAAGUUUUCCCGUCUCCGUUUAAAGUAAUAGGCUCCGAGAAAUUCAGAGCGCAUGCUCAGUGAGGGGUGGUCGCACCUUGGAGGCGGGUAGCUUUUGGGAUGGAGGUGUGUUUUGGUAUUAUAAUGAUAUUAUAAUGAGCAAAAAGAACACUAGGGUACAGCAUUUGUCAAAACGUGACAGGUCUUUGGCUUAGGGUGGCAAAAAGUGCUGCUUUGUGCACAAGAACAAUCGAGGUCCCACCUGAUCACAGAGCCUAGCCGUGGUGUCUCCACUCCACUCCACGCUCCGUGGUGUUCCUUAGAGCUAGCACACCAAGUUUCCCCAGCGCAAUAGCAUCUAAGGUUGGGAGCCUAGGGAACGCUCAGAUAAUGCAGUUAUGCCCUACCCUGAAAGCCUCUUCAAAGCUGUACCUUUUCCUUAAAAACGUGAAUGUUAGUUUUAUUUUCCUAGUUACUUCAGGCAUUUACACCACAAAGGUUUGAAAGAGAUCUAGGCUUUACAGAAACAGUAUGGAAGGACUCACUGUAUAAAAGUUAUUUUUCUAACAUAGAUAUAAAAUACAAAGGGUACUUAAAGACAUAUUUUACACUGGAGCUUACUGAGACAGAGUAUAAAGACAUAGCUCUUCUAAUGAAACCAUUAAAAGUUUUUUUUUUUUUUUUUUUUUUUUUUUUUAGCAGAACAAUAUGUUUUAUCUUGAAAGCCAAGUAGAAAGCUAAAGUAUUUUCUGGUACUUGGCAAGUCUAAAAAUGUUUCCUGCUACUGCUUGUUUCAAUAACUUUUUGCAAAACACUCUAAAAUCAGUUUGAUGUCUGGAAAUAACAUUAUAAUUCCACUAGCACUUUAAAUUUACACAAAGCACUACUACAACCUCAAGAGGCUGUCCUCCUCUCACCCCAGCUUUAGCCCUUCUUUUCCAUCUCUACACCACUGCCUCCAUUAUGCUGGCAAAAAUGUUUGGGCAAUUGUGGAUUGAAUUGCUAAGUAAUCUGGUUUGAACUAACUCAGGAAAUUAAAUGUUACAACCUGAGUCCAUUCUUUGAGCCAGCUCACUGUGUCUCCACUAAAGUGCCUGGGGAAGGACAGCGUAAAGCUGGAGUAUCCACUUAAGAAGCAUCAGUACCAGAAGGGUAGGUGCUUACAGAGGUUGAAACAGAACAAGUGCUAGAGAAAGCUGUACAAUACCCAUAAAGAAGAACACCCCGGAAAGGCAGCCUUGCUUUUAAGAGUGGUAUUUCUGGUUGUCAACGAAACAUAAUGUUUCCUGUCAAUCGUGAGCUGAUUUUUGUGGAACUAUUGGAGGUCCUCUGCACUGAGCUCUCAAAUCUGCCUAGCAAGUUCAGACAGUACUUCUCGAACUGAUGAGGCCUCUAGCCACAGCAAUGGAGUCAUCUCCUUAUUCCUCCUAAAUGAAUAUGCUUGAGCCAUAUUGAGUCCGGUUGCAUUUACAUGUGUCAAGCCCAUGCUGGACCAGGCUGGGGACAUCUCUGGUCUUCUGUAGGCUCUCUGGACAGGUCACUGUAAACCCGGUGAGACUAAUGUAGCAAAGACUGCACAGCACUGAAUAAUCCUGCCAGAACUGAGCUGGCCUCCCCAGCAUCCCUGCAUCUGUAGUACAAUUAAUCUGUCAACUAAAUAAACGGCCCAUGGAUGAGCGAGCA